rnacentral:lncRNA from 1 species
ACUGCACUCCAGCCUGGGCGACAGAGUGAGACUCCAUCUCAAAAAAAAAAAAAAAAAGAAAUACCAGGUGAAGCAUAUGCCCUGCAAGCUUAGGGGUGCUACAGUUGACCACUGCAGCAGUAAAGAUGACUGAAGAAUGGCAUGGGAUGGAUCCUUUCGAAUGCACUUGAGCAGCAGUCUCCAAACACAGGGCCACAGAGCCAGAGAAUGUAUUUGUCACUUCCAGCUGAAUCUACCAUGAAAGACUUCUGAAUCCAGGAAAAGAGACUGACUGGGUAACAUGUUAUUCAGGGUCUCCCUCUGUUGUCCAAGGCUGGAGUGUAGUAG